GCGCAGGGCUCCGCGGCCAGGACCCUGAGCAACGCGCCCGCCCGGCUGCCCCGCGGACCGUGCUGCUGGGCCUCCAGCCCCACGCGCGGCGGGCCCACCGUAAGAGGGUGCGGGGGCCACGCUCGGCCUGGAGCAGAUCGAGCGGGAGACAAGGGCCCCAGACCGGCCCCGGCCCGGUUGCUGCCUCCCACCUGAUCUACCCGCCGCACCGCGGCCCCCAGGACAGCCCUCUCAGGAGGCAGCCGCGGACUCCUCACCUAGAAGAAAGCGGUCCACGUCUAAGAUGAGGAAUCAGUGUCAUUUGAGGACGUGACUGUGGAAUUCACCCAGGAGGAGUGGCAGCACUUGGGCCCUGUGCAGAGGACACUGUACAGAGAUGUGUGAUGCUGGAGAACUACAGCCACCUUGUUUCACCUGUUUCACUGGGGUAUUGCAUUAGCAAACCCAAAGUGAUCUUCAAGUUGGAGCAAGAAGAGCUGUGGUUCUUAGAGGACGAAUUCCUCAGCCAUAAGUACCCAGGUG